UGGCUGUCGUCAGCUCGUGUCGUGAGAUGUUGGGUUAAGUCCCGCAACGAGCGCAACCCUUGUCCUAGUUGCCAGCAUUAAGUUGGGCACUCUAAGGAGACUGCCGGUGUUAAACCGGAGGAAGGUGGGGAUGACGUCAAGUCCUCAUGGCCCUUAUGUCCAGGGCUACACACGUGCUACAAUGGCCGGUACAAAGGGCUGCAAUACCGCAAGGUGGAGCGAACCCCAAAAAGCCGGUCUCAGUUCGGAUUGGAGUCUGCAACUCGACUCCAUGAAGUUGGAAUCGCUAGUAAUCGCGCAUCAGCCAUGGCCGCGGUCCGAAUACGUUCCGGGCCUU
rnacentral:rRNA from 1 species